GAAGAGGCUCAACCGACCUGCUAAGCCGGUGGGGGCAACCCCGCGCGGGUUCAAAUCCCGCCCCCGGCGCCA
rnacentral:tRNA from 1 species